UGGCAAUGAUGAACACAUAUCCGCGCUUCUUAAACUCGUUUAUGAUGCACAAAAAGAUAUUAUGGUUGAAUUUCUUCUACUGAGCCA
rnacentral:snoRNA from 1 species